UGGGGAAUAUUGCACAAUGGGCGAAAGCCUGAUGCAGCGACGCCGCGUGAGGGAUGACGGCCUUCGGGUUGUAAACCUCUUUCAGCAGGGACGAAGCGCAAGUGACGGUACCUGCAGAAGAAGCACCGGCUAACUACGUGCCAGCAGCCGCGGUAAUACGUAAGGUCCGAGCGUUGUCCGGAAUCAUUGGGCGUAAAGGGUACGUAGGCGGGUAAGCAAGUUAGAAGUGAAAUCCUAUAGCUCAACUAUAGUAAGCUUUUAAAACUGCUCAUCUUGAGGUAUGGAAGGGAAAGUGGAAUUCCUAGUGUAGCGGUGAAAUGCGCAGAUAUUAGGAGGAAUACCGGUGGCGAAGGCGACUUUCUGGCCAUAACCUGACGCUGAGGUACGAAAGCGUGGGUAGCAAACAGG
rnacentral:rRNA from 1 species